ensembl:lncRNA
CUUUUGCAGCUGAUUGACCAUGAAAAAUCAAGAAACGAGUCUGUUUUCAGGAUUUUGCUCAGUAGAAGAUGAAACAGGCACGUUGUUGCUUCACACUUGGCCUGCAGGCAGAAAUAACCUUCAGCGGGAAUUGAAAGGAAAAACGGGAAGAGGCUGCAUGGGAGAAGUGAAGACGACGGAGUCUGGGAGAACGAAGAUGGACAGAAAGCAUUUGGAGGUCGUGAGAGGAGGAAACAUUGACUGACUGGCUGAAAAUCACGAAGACAAAUGGAAUAAUUUAAAGUAAUCAUGGACAAGGUUAACAAAAUCCAGCUAAUCUGCAAGAAUAAAGUUCAAUAAAUGACAGAUUUCAGCGUUUUA